GGGCCGCGGUAUUUUGACCGUGCAAAGGUAGCAUAAUCAUUAGUUCUUUAAUUGUGAUCUGGUAUGAAUGGCUUGACGAGACAUAAGCUGUCUUAUGAGUAUUAUUUGUUGAAUUUGGUUUUUGAGUUAAAAUUCUUAGAUGUUUUUAUGGGACGAGAAGACCCUAUAGAGUUUGACAUUUAUUCUUGCUGAUCUGUUAUUGUUUGUUGUUUUGUUUUAGUAGGAUGAAUGUUUUGUUGGGGUGAUGGGAGGAAUUCUUUUAACUCCUCUUUGUUUUUAUAUAUUUAUUUAUAUAUUUUUGAUCCAUGUAUUUUGAUUAUAAGAUUAAAUUACCUUAGGGAUAACAGCGUUAUCUUCCUUGAGAGUUCUUAUUGGCGGGGAGGUUUGCGACCUCGAUGUUGGAUUAAGGUGAAUUUUCGGUGCAGGAGCUGAAGUUGAUUAGGUCUGUUCGACCUUUAAAACCUUACGUGAUCUGAG
rnacentral:rRNA from 1 species